UACGUAGGGUGCAAGCGUUGCCCGGAUUUAUUGGGCGUAAAGGGCGCGUAGGCGGCUCUGCACGUUCGUUGUGAAAUCGCCCGGCUCAACUGGGCGGGGUCAGCGGAUACGGCAGAGCUUGAGCAAGCUAGGGGGCAAUGGAAUUCCCGGUGUAGUGGUGGAAUGCGUAGAUAUCGGGAGGAACACCGGUGGCGAAGGCGGUUCUCUGGGCCUUACCUGACGCUGAGGAGCGAAAGCGUGGGGAGCGAACAGG
rnacentral:rRNA from 1 species